GCCUCCGAACCACGUGGUCCGGCGCGCCUAUGGUGGUAUUUCCACUGCCCCUCCCCGAGGCAUUUGUCACUUGUCAGUAAUGGUCCUUGUGUAAUUGUUGGGUUGUCAUUUGAGUUUCACUGUAGCGUACGCCCCGCGAGAGCAGAGAACAUGCUUGCUAACUGGUCUGUGUAACAGAGGUUCUCAAAGUGUGGCACCCCAUCGGCAACUGCAGCAUCGCCGAGACGUUUGUUGGAAAGGCAGUUUCUUGGUCUCUUCCCAGCCUUGAUGGGUCAGAAACUGGCCGUAGGGUCCGCGAUCCGUGUGUUACAAGCCCCCAAGUGAUUCUAACACUGGUGCUCAGGUCUGAGAACCACUGCUCACUGAACACAGUGCCAGACACAGGAACUCAGUCACUAUUUUGAGGGAUUUUAUGUGUCUUCGUCCUGUACUGGCCCGAUGACUUAACCUUUUCUUUUGAAAUUUGGAGUGUAAUGCAGAAAAGUGCACCAACCCCAAGUGUGACGCUGGAUGAAUUAUCCCCCGAAGAUAGCCAGCCACCAUCCAACUCAGGACAUAGUGACUCACUCAGUUUUGAAUCUCCAAAAACGUACAGUGCCUGCUACUUGGAGAUGCUCAGUUUUUAUUGAAAGGAUGAAAUGGCAGUUGCCUGGGGGAGUCCCUGCGGGCCCAGGUCCAGUGGGUUCCGAGUUAGAAGGAUGUCUUGAGAGGAGAGGGAAGGUCCCUUUGUUCCUGGUACUAAAAGGCUGGGGUCCACUUAGUAUGAGUGUUGCUGUUUUGAUGCAGGUGGUUUCACUCAUGACGAGCUGCUGCAGGUGUGGAAAGGACUGUUUUAUUGCAUGUGGAUGCAGGACAAGCCGCUCCUCCAGGAGGAACUAGGAAGGACCAUCUCCCAGCUUGUCCAUGCUUUUCAAACCACAGAGGCACAGUCUCACUGCAUUGGAGUCAUUAGUGGAGGAGAAUAUCUACCUUCUGUACUUUUACCUCCUCAGAACCUGCAGAAGAGUCUGCUCAGCAAAAGGCAAAGUAUGGAGUGUUCACCUAGUGACGCUGGAAGGAGUCAGUGAACGCAGGCCCCUCCACUGCUGAACCAUCUGAUCGGCUCUUUGCUGUUGGGGAAGCCUUAACGGGAGAAAAGAGAUGCCCUUUGUGUCCUGAUGUCAGGGUGUGGGCAGGGCUGGUUUCUCCGGAGGCCUCUUUCUUCGGCAUGAAGACGCUGUCUUCUCCCUGUGUCCUCACGUGAUUGCCCCUCUGUGUCUGUGUCCUGAUCGCAUCUUGUAAGGACACAGUCUGAUUGGAUGAAGUCCCACACAGUGACCUUGUUGUAUCUUAACUACCUCUUUAAAGACCACAUCUAUAAUAAUAAUCUAUAAUAAUAAAAGCUUA